rnacentral:rRNA from 1 species
UACAGAGGUUGCAAGCGUUAAUCGGAAUGACUGGGCGUAAAGGGUGCGUAGGUGGCUAUUUAAGUUAGAUGUGAAAUCCCCGGGCUUAACCUGGGAACUGCAUUUAAUACUGGAUGGCUAGAGUGUGGGAGAGGUAAGUGGAAUUUCCGGUGUAGCGGUGAAAUGCGUAGAUAUCGGAAGGAACACCAGUGGCGAAGGCGGCUUACUGGCCUAACACUGACACUGAGGCACGAAAGCGUGGGGAGCAAACAGG